rnacentral:rRNA from 1 species
GACGAACGCUGGCGGCGUGCUUAACACAUGCAAGUCGAACGGAAAGGCCCUGCUUUUGUGGGGUGCUCGAGUGGCGAACGGGUGAGUAACACGUGAGUAACCUGCCCUUGACUUUGGGAUAACUUCAGGAAACUGGGGCUAAUACCGGAUAGGAGCUCCUGCUGCAUGGUGGGGGUUGGAAAGUUUCGGCGGUUGGGGAUGGACUCGCGGCUUAUCAGCUUGUUGGUGGGGUAGUGGCUUACCAAGGCUUUGACGGGUAGCCGGCCCGAGAGGGUGACCGGCCACAUUGGGACUGAGAUACGGCCCAGACCCCUACGGGAGGCAGCAGUGGGGAAUAUUGCACAAUGGGCGGAAGCCUGAUGCAGCAACGCCGCGUGCGGGAUGACGGCCUUCGGGUUGUAAACCGCUUUCGCCUGUGACGAAGCGUGAGUGACGGUAAUGGGUAAAGAAGCACCGGCUAACUACGUG